rnacentral:lncRNA from 1 species
UGGCAGGAGGAGGAGGCGUCGGCCACGGCGCUGGCAUUGUGGCGGCGCUGCUGCUGCUGCUGCGCUGUUGUCGACACGGCACCGGCGGCGCCAGAUCUGGAGGAAAGGAGAGACAGCGGCGCUGCUCCGUGCAGGGACGGCGGAGGCAGCUGCUGCUGCCGGUCAAGAGGGAGGCGGCGGAGGCUGCUGUGCUGCGAUCGAUGCGGCGCCGGCGGUGACUUCCGCUGCCGUCGACGGAGAGGAGGGAAAGAUGAGAGGAGAAGAGAGAGGGGGGGCGGCUGCCGGCCUCCGUCGGGCGGCGCCGCCGUCAGACGGCGGCGGCAGUAGCGUGAGAGGAAGAGAGAUGAGGGAGAAGGCCGAAAAGUGAGGGAGAGUGAGAGGGAGACAAGAGUUGAGGGAAGACAGAGAGAGGUCGAAGGGAGGGAGAGAGGAGGCGGAGCCGCUGGCCUCCGACGGCGGCGUGCCGUCUGGUGGCGGCGGCAGGAGGCCGAGAAGAGGAGAGGGAGAGAGGGAGAAAGGGAGGCUGGUGUGGUGUGUGUGUGUGCGUCUGUGUGCGUGUGUUUGUGGGUGUGUGUGUGUGUGUGAUUUUCUUUUAAUAAAGGAAAUGAGUUGUGGGCUAGGGCUUUAAUAUUGGGCUAUUAAUAUUUUGGGCUUAUAUUUUAAUUCAAGAUGGGUUUGAUUUAAUAAGAGUAUUGGGCUGCAUUUUUAUUUUAGAUGUUGGGCUGAUUUAAUUUUUGUUAAAUCAUGCUUUGCUUAAAAUUAUUUAGUUAAGAUCUUAAUCAAUUGAUAUAUUAAUAUGACUAUUUAUUUUAUUAAGUGUAAUUAUUUACCUUAUGUGAUUUUGAGAUAUGAUAUGAAUUUGCAUAGUGAAUAAUGCAAUAAAAAUAUUUUGAUAAUUUCGAUUUUUAAGAUUUUAAAUUGAGUUUUGAAAAUCCGGGCGCAGAAUAUUAAGAUUUAGCAGCUUUGUAGAAUUGUUAGCUCGUACGAUAUUUUGCGACCUAUUAAGAUUAGAUUAUCUUGUAGGUCCACUUGUUAGAAGGUUUUAGCACUGGUUUUACAAGAAGAGAAUUGUGCAAAUUUUAUCUACAGGCUUGUCCUAUCAAGGUGGGUUUUAUUUUCCAAAGUAUGCUUUGAGUUAUUGAGCUCUACUUGUAUUAUGCAAAUGCAAAUGAAUGUCCAUGUUAAAAUGUUUCUUAUAUCUCUAUUGUUUAAAGUGCUCCUAUGUUAUCUAACGAUCGGGUCCUAGCCGGCGUAGCGAUUGGAUCGCCCUGGUUAGGAUUGUGUACACACAAAGGGGUAUUGUGGGCUGCUCCCACUUGCCUCAGACUGUCAGACUUGGGUUGCUCCCAUUUCUGAAACAUGCAUGGUAGUGGACCUCUGUGGGCUGCUCCCACAUGUUCACAUUAUAGGUGAAGCACCAAUAGAGAGAAGACUGGAAAUGGAUCCACAAAUUUAUUUUAAGUAUGCAUGGAAUGCUUUCAAAUAUUUCUAUGUUAUACUGUUCAUAGCAUGGAUUAUUCUUUUAAAUGGAUUUUCAAAUGUUUUCAAAUGGCUAAACCCACUGAGUAUAUUAGUACUCAGCCCUGCAAUUGUUUUCAAAACCUUUUGCAGGUUGAGCGGCAGGUGGUGUCGUGCGAGGCUGAGGGAGGAUGUUGCUGUAGUUUCAUAUAAUAAUUUCCGCUGCCAUAAUAUUCACUUAGGUGGAUAUCUUUUGAGAAUGACUCUUUAAAUAUUCUUAGCCUAAUUAUUAUGAACUCUUUUGGCAAUCGCAUUUCUAGCAAUUGAACCUCGCAUAUAUGUAUGUCUAGUAUGAAGUGUUAUCUUGUUGUCUCAGACCUCCGAACUUUUGAUCCUGGUUGGGAAAAUUUCUAUCCUAAUUGUUGUAUUUAUUAUCCUUCAAUUGCGGCACUCCUUUAUUAACAAUGUAUUACCCGAAUCUAAGAACAUAUCACCCAUUUUAUUCUAACAAAGUCUAGCAAAUCCCAUUAAGUAGCCGUUUCUUAUUCUCCCGGGAGUCGGGCUGUUACAGAUGGUAUCAGAGCAAAAGUUCUUGGCUCUGAGACCACAAGUUCAUUGAUGUUGAGUCUAGGAUAUCAUCUCUAGGCUUCUAAAGUUUAUACAGCAACCCUCAGCUCGUCGUCACACUGCCCUCAACCAAGGUAUGUUAAACAUGUUUUCAAAAAUGUUUACUGAAAUGCAUGCACCACAUGAAUAUGUUAUAGAACAUGUUAAGAUUGAAUAUGCACUGAGAUGGAACAUGCAUUAUGAUUGAACAUGCAUUGAGAUGAACAUGUAUUGAGACUGAACAUGCAUAGAGACGGGACACGCAUUGAGACUGAACAUGCACUGAGACUGAACAUGCAUUGAAACAGAGCAUGUAUGGAAACUACAAACGCAUUGAGACUGAACAUGCAUUGAGACAGAAUAUACGUAUUGAGACUGAACAUGCAAUAAGAGUAAAUGUGUUUUAAGAUUGAAUGCAUUGAUAUGAAUUGUGACUGAACAUACACUGAAGCGGAUCAUGUAUGGAGACGUCCGUACACUGAAACGCAACAUGUAUGGAACCUUAACCUAUAUUGAGACUAAAUAUGAAUUUGAGACUGAAAACAUUUUUUAUCAUGCAAGACUAUGUGCUAACUUGAUUUGAAUAUGGAAAUAUUGCAUAACUGCAUGAUAUGUAAUUUAUUACCAUGAGAUGAUUCAACCACUAUGUGUUAUUACAAUUUUAGUUAGGUUAUGAACCUAGAAAGGAUAUGAUGACAGACUAUAGUCGCUUAGUGAACUGAUGAAGGAUGUCUUUAGAUUUUUAUGAUCAGAGGAUUUUAGAGGACAUGAACAGACUAGAAAUAGAAAGAACUAUACAUUGAAAGCACUGAACAUAGACAGAGAGAACAUAGAAAGUAUAGAAUGACAAGAACAUAGAAAGAUGAUCAAGGAAGGGUAAACCAUAGAAAGUCAGAAUACGAAAGUUAGAAUAUCAAAGCACGAUACAUGAAAGGAUGACUUGUAGACAACCAACGAUCGUUUCAGACAAUAGAAGGAUCCUUAUGUCACCAGUAUCACAAAUUUUUAUUAGAAAGAAUGAAGAAGGAGUCCAACAUUAUUAAUUGAAUGCAGAAUGGCUGGAGAAGGAGAAAGAGGACCUAACCCUGAAGGACAUGCGCCACGAAUUAUACCAGAGCGUAGUGUGGAAGAAAGGUUUCGCAAGCAUAAUCCACCAACUUUUGAUGGCCUCGGUGAUCCUCUGGAUGCCGAGAGAUGGGUAAGAGCUACUGAAAGGAUACUCAACCACGUUGGCUGUGGGGAUAGGGAGAAACUCACAUGCGCAAUUUUUCAACUCGUUGAUGAGGCUGAAUUCUGGUGGGAAUCGGUGCGACGAACCUUGACCCCUGAGCAAUGGGAGGUGUACACGUGGAAUGAUUUUAAAGAAAGAUUGUAUGAAAAGUAUAUCCCUGGAUGCUAUAGGAAGAAGAAACAGGAUGAGUUUUGGAAUUUGCGACAAGGAAGUAUGACAGUCACUGAGUACGACCGAAUGUUUAACCAGCUUUCGCGAUAUGCUCCACAUCUAGUUGACACGGAUGAGAAAUGUGCAGAAAAGUUUCGACAAGGUCUGCGGCUUGAGAUAGCCGUUCCACUAGCAAGUCAGGGAGCGUUAACAUAUGCUCAAUCUUUGAGCAGGGCCCUAAACAUCGAAGCAAUACUACCAAAAGAAAAAGAGAAUGUGUUAGCACAAGCACCGACCCAAGACUAUGGAAAAAUGAAACGUAAAUGGGAAGACGGAAAUGAAGGAAACCCAGGAAAAAGAAAGCAACCAUGGAGAGGAAAUCGGCAACAACAAGGACACACGGAAGGAAAGCCGUUAUGUCCAACAUGUCAGAAAAAUCACUAUGGUGAAUGUAAGAGAGGUUCCAACGACUGCUUUAGGUGCAAGCAACCAGGGCAUUUCGCCAGAGACUGUCCAAACAAUAAUGAGCACAUGAGAUUUCCACAACCUCAUAACUUUGCCCCUCAAAGGCAAAAUCAGGCACCAAUUGACAAUGAACGACCAAAUCAGAGAGAACAUGCACGUGCUAGGGCUUAUGCUCUUAACCAGCAACAAGCAGCUCAAGCACCUGAAGAUUUAGAAGGUACAAUCGUCAUAAAUUGACGUAUCUGCUUUAACAUCAAGAGCUUCAUACUUUUAUCUCUACAUGCAUGUUAAAUGUUAAGCCUAUGGUGGUGGAAGCUUUCGAGAUGAUAUAUAGAUUAUGAUAAAGAAGCAUCGCAAGUUAGUCAUAUUGGGAUUCGGAAAACGAGAAGAGAUUGAUGAACAUAUUCGAUCGAAAGAUCAAAACUUUAUGGGACAAGCGGUUUUAUCCUAUCUUUAUAGAAUCACUACGAACGAGAAAAGUAUGUGUAGACUAGAAGUCGAGUUAACUAGUCAGGGUAUUCCAAUUUCGAGGACGCAAUUUUUUUUUAGGGGGGAAGGAUGUAACACCCCUAUUUUUCCUAAUAGGAUUUUCCGAGGUACUUGAACUUAGAAUAUUAUUUAGGUGAAUUUCUCGCCCGAAUAAAAUUUUUAUUUAUAAAAAAAGGGGUAUUUUCUUUUAAUAAAAGAUUUUAUCAAAUUUUACCAAAAGAGAUUAAAUGCAAAUACGUGACUAUGUGAAUAUAUUUCAUAUUACAUUUUAUUUUUUCAACUACUUUUAAUUUGAAUUGAGCCCAAAUAAAACUAUAUUACUAACUUAUCUAGUUUGGGUCUUAUUUAAUUUUGAGUAAAGAUUAUGUGUACUUUAUAAGCCCAUUUAUCUUUAUAUUAUUAAUUGUGUGUUAAUAAUUUAAAUGGCUUCUAAUUUAUUUAUUUAUUUCAUUUUUUUUAUGGGAUUUACGUCCAGCCAGAGUCAGCCAUGUUUCACUCUGCAAUUCUAAAUUCACCACAUUUUUAACCAAUCACUUUACAUGCAUUUUUCUCUCAUGUAAUAAAUUUGUCAAAACUCUCAAAGUGUUAGCAGAUUUCCUCUUUUCUUACCUUUUCUUUGGGCAGAGCUUCUUCAAUCUGGAAAUUUCAUGAAUCAUUUUCUUUGAGCAGAGCUUCUUCAUCUGGUAAUUUUAUGAAUUCUACUAACUCUUAUAAUUUUCAACACAGCGAUAUAUAUAUUUUUCUUUUUAUUGGCAUCAACACAAUAGCAAGCAUUUCACAACUGCUACCACACAAAUUUUGCAAACAUUUAAACUGAAACACACUCUUUUGCAUAAUCAAAAAAAAAAUGAAAUCUUUCAAAUCAUAACAAAUCAUAUUAGGAAGGGCUUUACAGAUUUUUCUCAUAAUAGAGGAUAGAAUAAGAUGAUUUUGGGGAGGGGUGUUGGCCGGCGGUUUUUAGCCGGAGAAGCAGAGCAGCAUCGGCUGCUCGGCGUGGCAGGAGGAGGCGGCGCCGGCGCUGCUGCUGUGCUGUUGUCGGACGGAGCGAGGGCGACGGCGUCGCCGGAUCUGGAAGAAAGGAGAGGCAGCGGUGCUGCAUGCUUGGCAGCAGCCCGCCGGCCGCUCGCGGCCGAGGCAGGCAGAGCUUGAAGCGCGGCGGCGCAGCUGGUGGCUCACCGGAGUUUGAAGGGAUAGGGAGCGGCGGCAGAUUGAGAGGGAGAAUCGGAGGUGGUGGUGGCGAGGACGGCGGCGCGGCGGUCCUUCGGGAUGCUGCUGCUCGCCCGGCCGAGAGGAAGAAAGAAGAGGAGGCGGCAGCUGCUGCCGGUCAAGAGGGAGACGAGUGAAGGGAAGGCGGCGGCUGCUGCGGUCGAUGCGGCGCCGGCGGUGGCUUCCCCUGCCGUCGACAGAGGAGAAGGAGAGAGCAGGAGGAGAAGAGAGGGGGCGACGCCGCUGAUACCGCGGCUGUUGACGCCGGCGAAGAAGGGGCGGCGGCGACUGCAGAUUCGAAAAGGGAGAGAGGGGAGAAGAGAGAGAAGUCGGAGAAGAGAGGAGGAGGGGGCGGCUGCCGGCCUCCGUCGGGCGGCGCCGCCGUCAGGCGGCGGCGGCAGCAGACGUGAGAGAGGCGAGAGAGAGAGUGUUGGGUGUGCUGGGUGUGUGUAUUUGUGUGAUGUGUGUGUGUUAUGUGAAUUAUAUGUGUAAAAUAGGGUUAGGGUUAGCCCUUGGGCUAAGCCCAUUUGGUUUUAUUAAUUGGGCCGAUUUUUAAAACAAAAACUGAUGGGCUUUUAAAAUUAUGGAU